rnacentral:rRNA from 1 species
UACAGAGGUCCCAAGCGUUGUUCGGAUUCACUGGGCGUAAAGGGUGCGUAGGUGGUGAGGUAAGUCGGAUGUGAAAGCUCCGAGCUCAACUCGGAAAUGGCAUUGGAAACUACCUUGCUGGAGGUUUGGAGGGGGGACUGGAAUACUUGGUGUAGCAGUGAAAUGCGUAGAUAUCAAGUAGAACACCAGUGGCGAAGGCGAGUCCCUGGACAACACCUGACACUGAGGCACGAGAGCUAGGGGAGCAAAC